UCUGACUACAAUGCAAAAUUAAACUUUGUUCCGACUGAAGACACACACUUCUAUGAACUGCAUGCCACGUGCUUUGAGAGGUCUUGAUCUUCAACAAGGCGGUAACCUCCUCAGUCUUAUUCCUUGUGCUCCACAGGGUCCAGCAGAGGGCUUGUCAUAGCCACGCGGAGAGCACCAGUUACUGAAGACUUGGGAGAAGCUCUGCUAAAAAUAUACUGAGCUUGAUGCUUAAGAGAAACUGUGAAACAGCCGUUCCCCAGAGCAUCUGAGAUCUUGCUUCCCGGCAACUGUCAUCAGUGUUGGCUCAAACAAACUCUACACGUUCUCUACAGGUUUGGACAUUUCUCACAUCAACA